UACGUAGGUGGCGAGCGUUGUCCGGAUUUACUGGGCGUAAAGAGCGCGCUGGCGGUCGUGCAAGUCGCGUGUGGAAGCCCCCGGCUCAACUGGGGAGGGUCACGCGAUACUGCUCGACUCGAAGGCAGGAGAGGGAAGUGGAAUUCCCGGUGUAGUGGUGAAAUGCGUAGAUAUCGGGAGGAACACCAGUGGCGAAGGCGACUUCCUGGCCUGUUCUUGACGCUGAGGCGCGAAAGCUAGGGUAGCAAACGGG
rnacentral:rRNA from 1 species